rnacentral:piRNA from 1 species
CACAAGGGAGAGGGUUGAAGCCCCAGU